rnacentral:rRNA from 1 species
UGGCGAACGGGUGAGUAACACGUAGGGAACCUGCCCAUAUACCCGGGAUAACAAACGGAAACGUUUGCUAAAACCGGAUAGGUAAUCGGAAGGCAUCUUCCGAUUAUGAAAGCAGCGACAGCUGUGGAUAUGGAUGGACCUGCGGCGUAUUAGCCAGUUGGCGGGGUAACGGCCCACCAAAGCGAUGAUACGUAGCCGGCCUGAGAGGGUAAACGGCCACAUUGGGACUGAGACACGGCCCAAACUCCUACGGGAGGCAGCAGUAGGGAAUUUUCGUCAAUGGGGGGAACCCUGAACGAGCAAUGCCGCGUGAGUGAAGAAGGUUUUCGGAUCGUAAAGCUCUGUUGUAAGAGAAAAAGGGUGAUAACAGGAAAUGGUUAACACUUGAUGGUAUCUUACGAGGAAGCCACGGCUAACUACGUGCCAGCAGCCGCGGUAAUACGUAGGUGGCGAGCGUUAUCCGGAAUGAUUGGGCGUAAAGGGUGCGCAGGCGGUUGUAUAAGUCUGAAGUAAAAGCCAUCGGCUCAACCGAUGUAAGCUUUGGAAACUGUGUAACUAGAGUGCAGGAGAGGGCAGUGGAAUUCCAUGUGUAGCGGUAAAAUGCGUAGAUAUAUGGAGGAACACCAGUGGCGAAGGCGGCUGCCUGGCCUGUAACUGACGCUGAGGCACGAAAGCGUGGGGAGCAAAUAGGAUU